rnacentral:rRNA from 1 species
CCCUAUGGGGUGCAGCAGGCACAGAUAUAAUAAACUUAUUCGCUCAGAUGCCUGCCGAACAGCGCAGCCAAAUACUGAUGGAAAUCGACCAGCAUCUAGCUGCCUUGGAAGGCACCAUGCUGGACCAAAUGGCAGUACGAGCGAUUGGAGGGGAGUAUACAGCCCUGGGAACAGAUCUGCAGGAGGUUCAGACCAAUUACAUCCUGCGGAGUGGCGUGCAGAUGAUCCUGAUGGCACUUCUGGCUGCGGCGACGUCCAUUAGCGUCAGUUACCUGGCAGCCCGGACUUCCGCCAGCGUGGCACGAGAUAUUCGCUCGGCUUUGUUUAAACAUGUGGAGCAGUUCUCUAGCUCGGAAUUCAACAAUUUUUCCACUGCUUCCUUGAUCACGCGUACCACUAACGACAUUUCCCAAGUACAGCAGGUAGUUUUCAUGGUCAUGCGCAUGGCUUUCACUGCUCCCAUCAUGGGAAUUGGCGGGGGAGC